UUGAAACCCUUGUCUGUUGAAUCCUGUGGACUUCCUAACCCUAUGGACUUCCUAUACACUCCCAGCUCCAAAACAACCAAAUGCCCAACCUCUGACAUUAUUACCCCCCUAGUCCUACUUCUAGUGUCAUUGGCCUUCAUUUUCCCUUUUGACAAAGUCCUUCCUCCACCCAUGCCUUCCUGUCAUCGAUGACUGCCUUGUCUCCUUGAGUAGAAAGGUACUUGAGCAGAGAAAGAAGGCAGAGGAAGAGGAAGCGAGAUGGAGUGAGAGGCAGAAGCAGAGAGAGAAGAAGCUUGCGAAGGUGGUUUCGAAGCGCGCCCAGGCCAACGACACCCACGUGCCCCUCUCUCAGACCAACCAGUCCAAGCUCAAGCAGUUCAGAAAGCAGGACUUUCAGCGCAGGAAGGAGUACAAGGAAGAGAUGAGGGAGAUCCAGGAGAGAGUGAAGGGGAGGCCUCUGCUGUUGGAGCAGGUCGCACAGGUGAGCCUGAAACGCCCCCCCCCCCCCACACACACACACACACACACACAUGUGGAGUGACAUGACAUGGGUUGCAUUUCAGUAGUUAUAAG
rnacentral:lncRNA from 1 species